AUUGAACGCUGGCGGCAUGCCUUACACAUGCAAGUCGAACGGCAGCACGGGAGCAAUCCUGGUGGCGAGUGGCGAACGGGUGAGUAAUGUAUCGGAACGUGCCCAGUCGUGGGGGAUAACGCAGCGAAAGCUGUGCUAAUACCGCAUACGAUCUAUGGAUGAAAGCGGGGGAUCGCAAGACCUCGCGCGAUUGGAGCGGCCGAUAUCAGAUUAGGUAGUUGGUGGGGUAAAGGCCCACCAAGCCGACGAUCUGUAGCUGGUCUGAGAGGACGACCAGCCACACUGGAACUGAGACACGGUCCAGACUCCUACGGGAGUCAGAAGUGGGGAAUUUUGGACAAUGGGCGCAAGCCUGAUCCAGCAAUGCCGCGUGCAGGAUGAAGGCCUUCGGGUUGUAAACUGCUUUUGUACGGAACGAAACGGCUCUCUCUAAUACAGGGGGCUAAUGACGGUACCGUAAGAAUAAGGGUCGGCUAACUACGUGCCAGCAGCCGCCGUAA
rnacentral:rRNA from 1 species